UUGGAUCAAUAUCUCAGUCCCUCUCCCUUCGAGGGGGAUGUGACAAGUAUCUCCCGGUUAUAAAAGACUUCUACAUUAAGUCGCGAACUCUGCGAGCAUUUUUAUUUUCGAUAUAUUUUGCAUGUAAUUAACUCUAAUUGAAAUAUCGAAGAAGACAUCAAGUUGAUAACAAUCGCUAAUGAUCUCAUCGAAUCGUGUCGUUCUACAAAAAGUGCUCAGUUAUAAAAGAUGUGGUCACUGCAAGAACUGGCAUGUAUUUGUGAAAGAAAGAUGCUGA